GGAUCGGGCGCUAAGGGGCUUCCCUAAGCGACUGAGAAGAUGAUCGAACUUGAUCAUUUAGAGGAAGUAAAAGUCGUAACAAGGUUUCUGUAGGUGAACCUGCAGAAGGAUCAUUA
rnacentral:rRNA from 1 species